rnacentral:rRNA from 1 species
UGAAUACGAGACGCUAAGGCGUCGAAGUAGUGUAUGUCAUACUUCCAAGAAAAGCUUGCACUGUCAUAGAUAAAAAACGCCUGUACCAUAACCGACACAGGUGGGUAGGUAGAGUAUACUAAGGGGCGCGAGAUAACUCUCUCUAAGGAACUCGGCAAAAUAACUCCGUAACUUCGGGAGAAGGAGUGCCUUAUUCUUAAGGUUGCAAUAACAAGAUCCAAGCAACUGUUUAUCAAAAACACAGGUCUCCGCUAAGUCGUAAGACGAUGUAUGGGGGCUGACGCCUGCCCAGUGCCAGAAGGUUAAAGAAGCUGGUUAGCAUUUGCGAAGCUAGUAACUGAAGCCCUGGUGAACGGCGGCCGUAACAAUAACGGUCCUAAGGUAGCGAAAUUCCUUGUCGGGUAAGUUCCGACCCGCACGAAAGGCGUAAUGAUUUGGAUACUGUCUCGGAGAGGGGCUCGGUGAAAUAGACUUGUCUGUGAAGAUGCGGACUACCUGCACCAGGACAGAAAGACCCUAUGAAGCUUUACUGUAACUUGAAAUUGAAAUUGGACUUUAUUCGCGCAGUAUAGGUGGGAGGCGUUGAUUAUAAUCUUGCGGGAUUAUUGGAGCCAUUAGUGAGAUACCACUCUUGUAAUGUUAGAUUUCUAACUUUGAAUCAUUAUCUGGUCAAAGAACAGUUUCAGGCGGGCAGUUUGACUGGGGCGGUCGCCUCCUAAACGGUAACGGAGGCGUACAAAGGUUUCCUCUGAACGGUUAGAAAUCGUAUCUAGAGUGUAAAGGCAUAAGGAAGCUUGACUGUGAGACCUACAAGUCGAGCAGGGACGAAAGUCGGUCUUAGUGAUCUGACGGUACUGAGUGGAAAGGCCGUCACUCAACGGAUAAAAGUUACUCUAGGAUAACAGGCUGAUCUCCCCCAAGAGUUCACAUCGACGGGGAGGUUUGGCACCUCGAUGUCGGCUCAUCGCAUCCUGGGGCGGUAGUACGUCCCAAGGGUUGGGCUGUUCGCCCAUGAAAGCGGUACGCGAGCUGGGUUCAGAACGUCGUGAGACAGUUCGGUCCAUAUCCGGUGUAGGCGUUAGAAUAUUGAGAGGAGCCUUCUUUAGUACGAGAGGACCGAGAAGGACAUACCUCUGGUGUACCAGUUAUCGUGCCAACGGUAAACGCUGGGUAGCUAUGUAUGGAGUGGAUAACCGCUGAAAGCAUCUAAGUGGGAAGCCCACCUCAAGAUAAG